GCUUAUAAUGCAAGUCGCACGUGAAAGUCCUUCGGGAUGAGUAAAGUGGCGCACGGGUGAGUAAUGCAUGGGAACGUACCUUUAGGAGGGGAAUAACCACGGGAAACUGUGGCUAAUACCGCAUAACGACGAGAGUCCAAAGCAGGCCUCUACUUGUAAGCUUGCACCUAAAGAGCGGCCCAUGUCCCAUUAGCUAGUUGGUAGGGUAAUGGCCUACCAAGGCGACGAUGGGUAGCUGGUCUGAGAGGAUGAUCAGCCACACUGGGACUGAGACACGGCCCAGACUCCUACGGGAGGCAGCAGUAGGGAAUUUUGCACAAUGGGCGCAAGCCUGAUGCAGCAACGCCGCGUGAGUGAAGAAGGCCCUUGGGUUGUAAAGCUCUUUCGAUUGGGAAGAAGGGUUCACUUGCAAAUAGUCUGUGGAUCUGACGGUACCAGAAGAAGAAGCACCUGCUAACUUCGUGCCAGCAGCAGCGGUAAUACGAAGGGUGCAAGCGUUGUUCGGAAUUACUGGGCGUAAAGCGCGCGUAGGCGGGCUGGAAAGUCGAUUGUGAAAUACCUGGGCUUAACCUGGGAACUGCAGUCGAAACUCCCGGUCUUGAGUGCCUGAGAGGAUGGCGGAAUUCCCGGUGUAGUAGUGAAAUACGUAGAUAUCG
rnacentral:rRNA from 1 species